rnacentral:rRNA from 1 species
GACGCUCAGGUGCGAAAGCGUGGGGAGCAAAACAGGAUUAGAUACCCUGGUAGUCCACGCCGUAAACGAUGUCAACUUGAAGUCUGUGCCAUAGAGCGUGGGCUUCGAAGCUAACGCGAUAAGUUGACCGCCUGGGGAGUACGGCCGCAAGGUUAAAACUCAAAUGAAUUGACGGGGGCCCGCACAAGCGGUGGAGCAUGUGGUUUAAUUCGAUGCAACGCGAAGAACCUUACCUGGCCUUGACAUGUCUGGAAUCCCUAAGAGAUUGGGGAGUGCCUUCGGGAAUCAGAACACAGGUGCUGCAUGGCUGUCGUCAGCUCGUGUCGUGAGAUGUUGGGUUAAGUUCCCGCAACGAGCGCAACCCUGUCCUUUGUUGCCAGCACGUAAUGGUGGGAACUCGAAAGGAGACUGCCGGUGAU